rnacentral:misc_RNA from 1 species
CCGAGUUUACAACUCCCAAACCCCUGUGAACCAUACCCAUAUCGUUGCCUCGGCGGAUCAGCCGCUCCGGUAACGGGGGACCGCCAGAGGACCCCUAAACCUCUGCUUUCUACUAAGUUGUCUGAGUUGCUGCAAGCAUAAACAAAUCA